UACGUAGGUGGCAAGCGUUGUCCGGAUUUACUGGGCGUAAAGAGCGCGCAGGCGGUCGUUCAAGUCGCGUGUGAAAGCCCCCGGCUCAACUGGGGAGGGUCACGCGAUACUGAUCGACUCGAAGGCAGGAGAGGGAAGUGGAAUUCCCGGUGUAGUGGUGAAAUGCGUAGAUAUCGGGAGGAACACCAGUGGCGAAGGCGACUUCCUGGCCUGUUCUUGACGCUGAGGCGCGAAAGCUAGGGUAGCAAACAGG
rnacentral:rRNA from 1 species